CAUGGGAGUAAGUGUGGCAAUGUAGAAUAAAGUCCAAGCUGUUAGCAUGACACAUUUUCAACGGAUUUUACAGUUUUCUACAUAAUAAAUAGCCUACUUCUUAUAGUGAAAAUUGUAAAUAUUUUCUCUAAUUCGACCAUACGGUAAAAGAGAAAAGUCCGAGAGAGGUGAGAAAAAGUUACUCACAAGUCUCUCCACCCGAACCCUAGUCUUCUCGAACCUCACCGUCUGAACCGCGUUUCCACCGGCGGUGGUCUUUAAUCGUCGGUCACCACCCCAAAUCGCUCCUUCUGUCAAACCUCACCCCUGUCAAGUUCUGUUUUCCUCACCUCCUCCUUGCUUCAUUACCUCUAUUUUUUGUUUGGAUAGGGGCCGGAUUUAUGGGUGUCGACUCAGUCUCUAUGGAGUGGUGGCGAGGUCGUGGAUGCUCAGAUCUCUUGAGGAGGCAACGUUUCGAAAGUAGAUCUAGGGUUUGGAUCUCGGUGGAUCUGGGGCAGAUUCACCUUGGAGGGUUCGCCGGAGCUUCAUUGCGUCGCUGCCGCUGUGUCUCCGGGCUUUGCCAGGGACUUCCCGUCCGUUCUGUCUUCUCAGCAACUAUCAUGGCGUUUGAUGGUCUCGGGUCCUUUGGUGGUUUGAGAUAGCUCAUGGAUUCCAGUUCUCUGCUUUGUCUCUGCCUCCCGUCGGGUCCUCUUAUCUUCCCCCCUGCAGAUGGGAGCUCAACCUCCUCUAUUUUCAAAGUCUCAGAAGGAAUUUGACUUCCACUUUCUGCCCUUAUGAUGCUAAGUUGCCAGAUCUUUCAGUGCUCUGCUUGUAUGUUGGGACCGGAGUCAAGCCGUUUAACCUCUGCUUUCGCCAGCAUGUAUCUUAUACAUGCUUAUCUGCUGGCUUUUUUGCCUCGAUUUGGAUUUUUCCGGGAUUGGUCUCAUCUUUUUUUUUCUGGAGUAAGCUUCAUCUGGAGUAGAUUUCACUGGUUGUGAUGGUCGGAUCAGGACUUAGUCGACUAUGCUUUGCAUGUCCUCUUUUUUGAGUCACCUUCGGGAAGGUCUGCGGUACCUCGGAUCAUUCUCUGGUUGUAAACUCUAAUGACUGCCUCUCUUGCUAGGUUUCGGUUGCAAGAUAAAGCCGUGGUCUCCUGAUGCUCAAUGGUGGUUACAAAUUCAUACAUUGCCAAGUUUAAAUCAUAUCUUUAGAGAUAUGCCUGAACCUUAAUCUGUUUUAGAGAAUUUUUUAAAACCUUUUUGGUGGCUCU